AACGAACGCUGGCGGCAGGCUUAACACAUGCAAGUCGAGCGCCCCGCAAGGGGAGCGGCAGACGGGUGAGUAACGCGUGGGAAUCUACCCUUUUCUACGGAAUAACGCAGGGAAACUUGUGCUAAUACCGGAUAAGCCCUUCGGGGGAAAGAUUUAUCGGGAAAGGAUGAGCCCGCGUUGGAUUAGCUAGUUGGUGGGGUAAAGGCCUACCAAGGCGACGAUCCAUAGCUGGUCUGAGAGGAUGAUCAGCCACAUUGGGACUGAGACACGGCCCAAACUCCUACGGGAGGCAGCAGUGGGGAAUAUUGGACAAUGGGCGCAAGCCUGAUCCAGCCAUGCCGCGUGAGUGAUGAAGGCCCUAGGGUUGUAAAGCUCUUUCACCGGUGAAGAUAAUGACGGUAACCGGAGAAGAAGCCCCGGCUAACUUCGUGCCAGCCGCCGCCGUAAAAC
rnacentral:rRNA from 1 species